GGCCUUUUGGUUCAUUAAAAAUGAUGAAUGGGUUAUUCAUGUGUCUACAUGAGAUAUGUCUCCAGCAUUGUUACGCACAGACAUAUUACCUCUCUGAUA